ACUCUAAGCACUCAGUGGAAUAAUGUGAAAUGGCACCUUAGAAAACGAUAUUUCCCCAAGCUAAAUAGAUAAAACACUGCUUUCAGCCACUGAUGUUGUCAGACACUGACCAUACAGCACAAAUAUACUAGAGGCUAGGUUUUACCAGGUUAGCCUGGGACAUGAGGUAUACAUAUAGACAAGCUGGUGGGUUAACCAGGUUAACCAGGGACAUGAGUUAUAGAUAUAGACACACUGGUGGGUUAACCAGGGACAUGAGUUAUAAAUAUAGUCACGCUGGUGGGUUAACUAGGGACAUGAGGUAUAGAUAUAGACACGCUGGUGGGUUAACCAGGGACAUGAGGUAUAGAUAUAGACACGCUGGUGGGUUAACCAGGGACAUGAGGUAUAGAUAUAGACACACUGGUGGGUUAACCAGGUUAACCAGGGACAUGAGUUAUAAAUAUAGACACGCUGGUGGGUUAACCAGGUUAACUAGGGACAUGAGUUAUAAAUAUAGACACGCUGGUGGGUUAACCAGGUUAACCAGGGACAUGAGUUAUAGAUAUAGACACGCUGGUGGGUUAACUAGGGACAUGAGGUAUAGAUAUAGACACACUGGUGGGUUAACCAGGUUAACCAGAGACAUGAGUUAUAGAUAUAGACACACUGGUGGGUUAACCAGGUUAACCAGAGACAUGAGUUAUAGAUAUAGACACGCUGGUGGGUUAACCAGACACAGCAUCCAGGUCCUGGUCUGAACCCACGAAUACUAGUGGCUGCUGGGUUGGGUCCUGGUCUGAACCCACCGAUACUAGUGGCUGCUGGGCUGGGUCCUGGUCUGAACCCACGGAUACUAGUGGCUGCUGGGUUAGAACUGGCUUGCUGCUCCCGCAGGAUAUCCUUUAGCUUGAGUUAUACACAAAUCCAGUGCAUUCGGAAAGUAUUCAGACCCCUUGACUUUUUCCACAGUUUGUGAUGUUUACAGCCUUAUUCCAAAAUUUAUAAAAAUAGUUUUUUUUAUUCAUCAAGCUACACACAA